GUCUACGGCUCUACCCCCCUGAAUGCACCCAAUCUCGUCUGAUCGCGGAUGCUAAGCAGGGUCGGGCCUGGUUUGUACUUGGAUAGGAAGAAGAGCAUAGGGGAGACU
ensembl:rRNA 5S_rRNA 5S ribosomal RNA